rnacentral:rRNA from 1 species
CCUACGGGUGGCAGCAGUGGGGAAUAUUGGACAAUGGGCGAAAGCCUGAUCCAGCCAUGCCGCGUGUGUGAAGAAGGCCUUCGGGUUGUAAAGCACUUUCAGUGGGGAAGAAAGCCUUGGGGCUAAUACCCUCGAGGAAGGACAUCACCCACAGAAGAAGCACCGGCUAACUCCGUGCCAGCAGCCGCGGUAAUACGGAGGGUGCGAGCGUUAAUCGGAAUUACUGGGCGUAAAGCGCGCGUAGGCGGUCUGAUAAGCCGGUUGUGAAAGCCCCGGGCUCAACCUGGGAACGGCAUCCGGAACUGUCAGGCUAGAGUGCAGGAGAGGAAGGCAGAAUUCCCGGUGUAGCGGUGAAAUGCGUAGAGAUCGGGAGGAAUACCAGUGGCGAAGGCGGCCUUCUGGACUAACACUGACGCUGAGGUACGAAAGCGUGGGUAGCAAACAGGAUUAGAUACCCUAGUAGUC